rnacentral:rRNA from 1 species
UACAGAGACUGCAAGCGUUAUUCGGAUUCACUGGGCGUAAAGGGUGCGCAGGCGGCCAAGUGUGUGAGGCGUGAAAGCCUGGGGCUUAACUCCAGAAUUGCACCUCAAACUACAUGGCUAGAGCAUCGGAGAGGGUAGCAGAAUUCACGGUGUAGCAGUGAAAUGCGUAGAUAUCGUGAGGAAUACCAGAGGCGAAGGCGGCUACCUGGACAAUUGCUGACGCUCAGGCACGAAAGCGUGGGGAGCAAAAGGG